rnacentral:lncRNA from 1 species
GAAAGAGAUAGAGAGAAAUUAUCUCUGAGGAUUAUGAUAACUGCCACUUGCUAUUCUUCACAUAAUUAACUGCUGAAGCAGCCCCAUCCAUUUACCUGCAACCUUUGACAGUCUCGAGACAUCGAUCCCUCCUAGUGAUCGAUUAAGAGCCACCGACCCACUGAUUUCUUGAUUUCAUUCAUAUUCCUUCCUUCCCUGAUCUGCCUUCUGUUCCCCGUUUCCCUCUGCCUUUACUUGUUGACCCACCAACGCCGAUGUCACCCCUCGUAGUUGUUUCUCUUCCCUCGAUUAGUGAGUAUCGAUGACGAAGAGCAAACCAAAAAAAGGGCCAUCGCAGGUCGACUACCCCCUGCCAUCACCAGGCCAAGAACCAUCACUAUCGUCUCCUUAUUUCUUCGAAUCGGACGAACCCCAGAGUAACUUCCCGAACCACCCACGAUCGAUGCCCAUCGGAGCUGCUUCGAUGACAUUAUAUUCCUUUUAUCGUUCCUGAUCAGUCAAAGGGGGAAGAAGACGAUGCCCUUUCCUUAGCUGGAGCCGUUUGAUAACUGAUACAAGGCUUCGACCUAAAAAGAAAAUAAACGACUUUUAAUUUUGACCAAGUUAAAGGUCAAAGCAAAAAAUCAAACUUUCAUUUUGUAACCUGCAAUGGAGGACAAGCUAACUGCAGAGAGGAGGUUGGAGGAUAUGAGGCUACAAUGAGAUUAAAACUUGUUAUAAUGGGUUAAGUGAUUUUUUAAACAGGUUGAACGAGAGUUCAUUUCCUUAAUAUACCAAAAAAAAAGUUAAGUAACCUUUUAAAACAAACACGACAAGUUCGAUGGACUAAUAUGACAUUUGUCCUUCACCAUAUAGUGGAUAACAUAUUUCAGAUAUGGUAUCCACUUAUUUUAAAUUUUUCAUAAAUAUAAGAAACCACAAAAACUAAGGUCAUAAAUAAAAGAGACCACAAAAAAUAAGGGGUCGGAUCAAAAAAGAAAAUAACAAUCUGGAUUCCAUUGAUAAAUUUGUAAAGAAAAAAAAAGUUGCUAUUUGUUAUAAUUUUGAAAAAUCAUCUGAUAUUUUUGUGAUUUAUCACUAUUUAGUAUGUACAUUUAUAGGUCGGGAUAAUAUUUAAAUGAAAAAGUUUAAAAUUUCUUAAUUUUAUUCAUAUAAUUUUCUUAUGAAUUUGAAAUAUUUUGGAGGAAAAAUCCUCAAGGAAGAAAGGCCGUGUGAGAAAAAACUGAUAGUUACAUGGUACUGACGAACUUAAUGAAUCGGAUGCCAUAAAGACGCAGAAACGUAUGACCCAGAACCGCUCUGUAGUUGGUCCCAC